rnacentral:tRNA from 1 species
GCCGAAGUGGUGGAAUAGGUAGACACGCACGCUUGAGGGGCGUGUGGGGCGACCCGUAGGAGUUCAAGUCUCCUCUUCGGCACCA